AACAGCCUCAUCAACUGGAAGGAAUCCCUUCCAGUCGAUGAGGUUGUUAUACCUCAUCAAAUGGAAGGGGUUCCUUACGGUUGAUGAGGUUGUU
rnacentral:miRNA from 1 species